AUGCGUUUUGUGCGGCGCAUCCAGGAGUCUGAGGUGAAGGAGGCUUUAAAAAGGAUGAAAGGAGGCAAGGCGAUGGGCCCUGAUUGUAUCCCCAUUGAGGUGUGGAAAGGUCUCGGGGACAUAGCGAUAGUAUGGCUAACCAAGCUUUUCAACCUCAUUUUUCGGGCAAACAAGAUGCCAGAAGAAUGGAGACGGAGUAUAUUAGUACCAAUCUUCAAGAACAAGGGGGAUGUUCAGAGUUGUACUAAUUACCGUGGAAUUAAGCUGAUGAGCCAUACAAUGAAGCUAUGGGAGAGAGUCAUUGAGAACCGCUUAAGAAGAAUGACAAGCGUGACCAAAAAUCAGUUUGGUUUCAUGCCUGGGAGGUCGACCAUGGAAGCCAUUUUCUUGGUACGACAACUUAUGGAGAGAUAUAGGGAGCAUAAGAAGGACUUGCAUAUGGUGUUCAUUGACUUGGAGAAGGCCUAUGAUAAGAUACCGCGGAAUGUCAUGUGGUGGACCUUGGAGAAACACAAAGUCCCAGCAAAGUACAUUACCCUCAUCAAGGACAUGUACAAUAAUGUUGUGACAAGUGUUCGAACAAGUGAUGUCGACACCGAUGACUUCCCGAUUAAGAUAGGACUGCAUCAGGGGUCAGCUUUGAGCCCUUAUCUUUUUGCAUUGGUGAUGGAUGAGGUCACAAGGGGUAUACAAGGAGAUAUCCCAUGGUGUAUGCUCUUUGCGGAUGAUGUGGUGCUAGUUGACGAUAGUCGGACGGGGGUAAGUAGGAAGUUAGAGUUAUGGAGACAAACUUUGGAAUCGAAAGGGUUUAGGCUUAGUAGAACUAAAACCGAGUACAUGAUGCGCGGUUUCAGUACUACUAGCUGUGAGGAGGAGGAGGUUAGCCUUGAUGGCCAGGUGGUACCUCGGAAGGACACCUUUCGGUAUUUGGGGGCAAUGUUGCAGGAGGAUGGGGGUAUUGAUGAAGAUGUGAACCAUCGAAUCAAAGCCGGAUGGAUGAAGUGGCGCCAAGCUUCUGGCAUUCUCUGUGACAAUAGAGUGCCACAAAAGCUAAAAGGCAAGUUCUACAGGACGGCGGUUCGACCCGCAAUGUUGUAUGGCGCAGAGUGUUGGCCGACUAAAAGGCGACAUAUUCAAUAG
rnacentral:rRNA from 1 species